rnacentral:rRNA from 1 species
UACGUAGGGGGCAAGCGUUGUCCGGAAUCAUUGGGCGUAAAGAGCGUGUAGGCGGCCCGGUAAGUCCGCUGUGAAAGUCGGGGGCUCAACCCUCGAAUGCCGGUGGAUACUGUCGGGCUAGAGUGCGGAAGAGGCGAGUGGAAUUCCUGGUGUAGCGGUGAAAUGCGCAGAUAUCAGGAGGAACACCGAUGGCGAAGGCAGGUCUCUGGGCAUUAACUGACGCUGAGGAGCGAAAGCAUGGGGAGCGAACAGG